UACCAUCAAGUUUGGUGUUUAUGACGUCGAUAUUCGACGUCAUAAACACCAUCAAGUUUGGUGUUUAUGACGUCGAAUAUCGACGUCAUAAACACCAUCAAGU